UCACCCCUUCGCGGGCAAGUGCUCCUCCUCGAGCCUCUGCCUCCUCCCCCGGUGGCCCCAAACCUCCCUCGCGGGAGAAGGCGAUGGGCGGCAGCAGUCCGCCAUCGAUCCCCUCCCCCUCGCCCGUAUGGCCGUAUCGUCCGUCUCCUCGCAUUCCGUCGCUGCCUGCCUCGCCAAUAAUUGCCCUGCCGCCCUGCACUGCUCGCCAGAACCGCCGCCGUGCGCCUCCUUGGCUCCCAUCCUCGACGGGGUGCUACUCUCACAUCCGAGCGAGGGGACCAACCGCCGGCCAUCUCGCGCCGCCGCGGGCACCGCUCCUCCCCGCUUGUCUCCUUCGAUUCACUCAUCGAUUUUGCUACCAGGAGAUUGAGAGGGGAGUACCACAGAAAGUAACACCGGCUUGAACUUCCCGUAACUCGAUGCUGGCCGGGCGGCGUCGCCCCACGUAUCGCAAUCAGUGGGCCCAAGGCGCGCUCUACGCGCUGGCCCUCGCGUGGAUCCGCAGUCCACGCGCCGCAGUGCGUGCGUGCGCCGAGGGAGGGAGGCCAGGGCAAGGGAGGGACCUCGUCGUCCGCCAACAGUGCUCCCGUCUGCUAGCUGCCUCUCCUAUGCGGCCGCUCGGCUACAUCUGCCUGCGGCAGCAGAGAUAUUGGAGAGACAUGAUUGCUAACAGAGAGAGGAUUAGGUGAAAUACGGGAGGAGAUGGCCUAUUUUUCUUUUGUAGCUUCAAUUUUACAGCGAUUUGUACGGAUUCCUCCAGUUUAACCGUGUAGUUCCAAUUCAAUUUGGGAAGGAAGAUGGGUAGCUGAACGAACUGUGCUGCUGGGAGUUGAAUAUAGGAGUGCCAAUCGAUCUACUGUAUGAGUGAUAUGGUGAACUGGUCUGAGAAUUGUUUCCCGUGCGCAUCUCUUACGUUUCAACUUGUCAUGAUAUGGUGAACUGCUCAAAAAAUCUUUUUUUUACAGAUACAGUAAUCUAUAUUUAUUCUUCAUGCUUCAGUUAUGCUUCUCUGAAAAUUCAAUUUUUGACUAUAAGCUUGAUGUUGCUGAAAAGAACAAAAAGAAUGUAGUGAAGCCAUUGAACCUUGGCUGUAAUAUUCUGGUUUUAUGAAACAGACAGAUUUGUGUUAACAUGAGAUGUUGGCAGCACAGAAAAGCGAAAGAUCUUUCAUACCAGAUUUGAUACUGUGGUAGUUGUGAAUGUGCUAUUUCAGUAUAGAUUGACCUUUCAUUUUUUCGUUAUAGCCAUUUUUUUUCACUUUUGACUAGGGAUAUGCUCAUCCGCAGCCCACUCAAGGUUCGUAUCUGUCCAAGGACAAUGGUAUAAGGCUCGCAUCUUCCCAAAGCUGAAGAACUUCUUUGAACUCCUCCUAAGCAAUAAGAGUGUCUGCUGUUGGUUGACUCAAAUUCCGUGUGCCUUCUUUGAUAUCUAUAUGUAGAAUAUUCACUUUUUCAUUUUUGCUAAAUUGACUGCAGGAAUGAGGCCUUGGAGUUGAGAGACGGCGGAUUUUAUAUAUUCUCUAACUUAUUAUGAACCCGUCUCUCUGUUGUUUUAAUAUGAAAAUGAACAUCAUAAAAUCGUGUAGUUUGUUGCGUCCCUGUAGUGACCUUGAACGGUAUGCAUGAUACUCUCUUAUCUGUGCCUCUUGUAGGGUAUACAAAAGUUCAGGGAUUCAACCAUUGAUUCCUUGGGUGAAGCAACUGGUGCAAUGGGGUGGGCAUCGGGUGAUGCGUGAGCCAUUGUUGUUUGUGUAAGAGAGGCUGCGGCAGAUCAUCUAGAGGAGCAACAGGCUGACUGUGGCACUCCGCCUCCCUGAACUUAAACAACCUUGGUCGGUGUAUGCGUGAGUGAACAGGUUUGUGUCUGAUCUGUUUGUGGUGAUUCUGUUUGGGACGUAUGCUGAAGUAGGGGAUGUGUGGGCCACUCAAAGGGUGUUCGAUGAAAUUCCUGAACUCUAAACUACAUUGGUCCGCGUAUGCGUAAGUGAACAGGUUUGUGAUGAUUCUGGUUGGGAUGUAUGCUGCAGCUGGGGAUAUGGAGGCUACUCAAAGGGUGUUCGAAGAAAUACCUAUGGUGAUGUGGCGUGGCUAUCAAGAUGAGAUCGUUUAUUGGUUGUACUUUUGUGUAAGCAACAUGGAUGCUACAAUUUUUUGUUACAUGGUGAAUGUAUCAUCAGUGCGAAAGUUUUGGCUGUGAAAAUGUGAUCGUUACUUUCAAA